GACGAACCGUGCGAACGUUAUUCGGAAUCACUGGCUUAAAGCGCGUGUAGGCGGGACGGCACGUCGGUCGCUGAAAGCCCCCGGCUCAACCGGGGAACGGGCGCCGAUACGACCGGCCUGGAGGGACGUAGGGGGACCUGGAACUUCCGGUGGAGCGGUGAAAUGCGUUGAGAUCGGAAGGAACGCCCGUGGCGAAAGCGAGGUCCUGGACGUUUCUGACGCUGAGACGCGAAAGCUAGGGGAGCGAACGGG
rnacentral:rRNA from 1 species